ACCAUUACUGGUUUUCAUAAAUGUGUUGUGGAGCUAUUCAAAAUAAUGAAGGACAAUAUUGAGCUUGCAGUUUUUGCAGAAGAAUUUUAAUGGGAAAUAUAUAUCAGUGUGGUCAAUGCGUAGGAAACUAUCAUUCAGCUUUGAAUGGUGUUGAUCAUCCAUCUUUAACAAGUCUCUUCUAUUUACUUUGGCAGCAUUGAAACCCUCCAAUGCUGGUAUCAGGCCUACUCAAUUGUUUGUUCAGUUUCAAGUGUUUAAGGAACAUGAGCAUAUGAGCUGACAAAUCAAUUGAUCUAUUGCAGAAAAAGUUUCUGUGUUUUGACAAAUGAAAUGAUUCAGCUAAUAUACUGUAGAGUAUUUGCAGAAGAAUUGUUCAAUGGGGAAUAUAUCAGCUUGGUUGAUGCUUUGAGAACUAAACAUAAAGCUUUUAAUGGUGUUAAUUAUCCGUUUGUAACCAGCCCUUUAUUUACUUCGGUAAACAUUGGAGGAUUAUGAUUUCAGUAUCAAGUCUAUGCAAUAGUUUGUUCAAUUUGAUUCAACUGUUUAAAGGAUGAGCUUAUGAGCUUACGGGUCCAUUGAACAGUUAGCUUAUGAGCUUUUUUAUACAUUCACGUUUGUCCCAAUCUGAUAUUUGUGGCCAUUUGUUCAUGGUUCAGAAUAACAUUCUUCCUUGGGAAUCUUUGUAGAGUAUUCAAUACAGCAAGAACUAAGUCACCCAUAACAAUCAAAACACAAAUUAGUAGACAAUUGAGAGGCAAUUGAGAGCUGCAAACAAAGUAAUAGGCAAUUUCAAAUACAAAAAAUCCUCAUAGUGCAAACAAAGUAGUAGACAAUUGAGAGCUACUAUUUAAUAUAACUUGCUUUCUCAUUGCAGAGGAGAAGGGAGCAAAGGGGCUUCCAAGUGACCUCAAAGUAAGUUUAGCAUUUCUAUUUCAAAACUUAUUUAUGUUGCGAUGGUGCCCUUGAAUGGAAUGAUCUAUCUAUGAUCAUCUUCUGAUGUUUAAUCAAUUGACAACGAUUAGUAGCAGUUUCAUUUACAAUCAAAUCGAUUUUCUGUCUAAAAUAUGUUUUCCAAUUUGCAGAGGAGAAGGAAGCGAAGGGACACCAAAGUAAAUGUUCAUUCUAUCCAUAUCAGUGCAUUUGUUUUCUCUAAAAAUUUAUUUAUGUUGCAGUAGUAUGCCUUGCAUUGGUUUUGUUUAUCUUUUAACAACUUUAUCAAUAUUCAAUGCUUCAAUUUAAAUGUUUAUGUACCAGAGGUCAACCAAACAAAGCUAAGUCCAAGACAAAGGAGGACUAAGGAUUAUGUGCUCAUUUUGGAUGCUCGCUCCCCAGCAAUAGUUCUUUUGAUGCUAAGUUGCUAACAGGUUAGACGUACAUGGUUCUAACUACAAAUCGAUUAUUGUUUUGACUAACAGUGGGAAGCAUUUUGCUGUGCAGAAUGAUAUAUAAUACAUGACUUAUUUUUUGUGCUCUCAGUUAUUUUGGUGUGUAUGACAGUGUUGUCCACAGAGGGCAAUGUACUGUAUAAUAUUACAAUAUGAUGCUUUUGUUUGAUAAGUCAUGUGUAUUGUAUCAGGCGCUAAGUUAAUGGAUUUUUUGUAAUCUAACAUUUUCACUUUUCA
rnacentral:lncRNA from 1 species